rnacentral:rRNA from 1 species
UUCCGGUUGAUCCUGCCGAAGGCUACUGCUAUUGGAGUUCGAUUAAGCCAUGCGAGUCUAAGGGAUACUUGUAUCCCUGGCAUAAUGCUCAGUAACACGUGGAUAAUCUGCCCUCAGGUGAGGAAUAAACCCGGGAAACUGGGGCUAAUACCUCAUAGAUACAGACAGCUGGAAUGCUUCUGUAUUCAAAGCUCCGGCGCCUGAGGAUGAGUCUGCGGCCUAUCAGGUUGUAGUCAGGGUCAUGACCUGACUAGCCAACGACGGGUACGGGGUGUGAGAGCACUUGCCCGGAGAUGGUUUCUGAGACACGAAACCAGGCCCUACGGGGCGCAGCAGGCGCGAAAACUUCGCAAUGCGGGAAACCGUGACGAGGGAACUCCAAGUGUCUAUGCAUUGCAUAGACUGUUUUUUAGCCUAAAUAGCUAAAAGAGUAAGAGGUGGGCAAGACCGGUGCCAGCCGCCGCGGUAACACCGGCACCUCGAGUGGUAGCCACUAUUAUUGGGCCUAAAGCGUUCGUAGCCGGUUUGGUAAAUUCUUGGGUAAAUCGUACAGCUUAACUGUGCGGAUUCCGGGGACACUACCAGACUUGAGACCGGGAGAGAUCAGAAGUACUUGUAGGGGAGCGGUGAAAUGUUGUAAUCCUACAGGGACUACCAGUGGCGAAGGCGUCUGAUCAUAACGGCUUUGACGGUGAGGAACGAAACCCUGGGGCGCAAACGGGAUUAGAUACCCCGGUAGUCCAGGGCGUAAACGCUGCUGACUUGGUGUUGGAGAUCCUACGAGGGUGUCCAGUGCUGGCGCGAAGGCAUUUAGUCAGCCGCCUGGGGAGUACGGUCGCAAGACUGAAACUUAAAGGAAUUGGCGGGGGAGCACUGCAACGUGUGGAGCGUGCGGUUUAAUUGGACUCAACGCCGGGA